rnacentral:sRNA from 1 species
ACCAAUACGAUGUAGCCAAACUGUUCA